rnacentral:rRNA from 1 species
CCUACGGGGCGCACCAGUGGGGAAUAUUGGACAAUGGGCGAAAGCCUGAUCCAGCAAUGCCGCGUGUGUGAAGAAGGUCUUCGGAUUGUAAAGCACUUUCGACGGGGACGAUGAUGACGGCACCCGUAGAAGAAGCCCCGGCUAACUUCGUGCCAGCAGCCGCGGUAACACGAAGGGGGCUAGCGUUGCUCGGAAUGACUGGGCGUAGAGGGCGCGUAGGCGGUUUAUGCAGUCAGAUGUGAAAUCCCCGGGCUUAACCUGGGAACUGCAUUUGAGACGCAUAGACUAGAGGUCGAGAGAGGGUUGUGGAAUUCCCAGUGUAGAGGUGAAAUUCGUAGAUAUUGGGAAGAACACCGGUGGCGAAGGCGGCAACCUGGCUCGAUACUGACGCUGAGGCGCGAGAGCGUGGGGAGCAAACAGGAUUAGAUACCCUCGUAGUC